AGUGAACGCUGGCGGUAGGCCUAACUCAUGCAAGUCGAACGGCAGCACAGGAGAGCUUGCUCUCUGGGUGGCGAGUGGCGGACGGGUGAGGAAUACAUCGGAAUCUACUCUGUCGUGGGGGAUAACGUAGGGAAACUUACGCUAAUACCGCAUACGACCUACGGGUGAAAGCAGGGGUCCUUCGGGCCUUGCGCGAUUGAAUGAGCCGAUGUCGGAUUAGCUAGUCGGCGGGGUAAAGGCCCACCAAGGCGACGAUCCGUAGCUGGUCUGAGAGGAUGAUCAGCCACACUGGAACUGAGUCACGGUCCAGACUCCUACGGGAGGCAGCAGUGGGGAAUAUUGGACGAUGGGCGCAAGCCUGAUCCAGCCAUACCGCGUGGGUGAAGAAGGCCUUCGGGUUGUAAAGCCCUUUUGUUGGGAAAGAAAUCCAGCUGGCUAAUACCCGGUUGGGAUGACGGUACCCAAAGAAUAAGCACCGGCUAACUUCGUGCCAGCCGCCGCAGUAA
rnacentral:rRNA from 1 species